UGCCCAGAGGGUUACUGCUAAAAUGA
rnacentral:piRNA from 1 species